rnacentral:rRNA from 1 species
ACUCCUACGGGAGGCAGCAGUGGGGAAUAUUGGACAAUGGACCAAAAGUCUGAUCCAGCAAUUCUGUGUGUUUGAUGAAGGCCUUCGGGUUGUAAAGAACUUUCAGUGGGGAAGAAGCAAGUGACGGUACCCACAGAAGAAGCGACGGCUAAAUACGUGCCAGCAGCCGCGGUAAUACGUAUGUCGCAAGCGUUAUCCGGAAUUAUUGGGCAUAAAGGGCGUCUAGGCGGUCUAAUAAGUCUGAUGUGAAAAUGCGGGGCUCAACUCCGUAUUGCGUUGGAAACUGUUAGACUAGAGUUUUGAGAGGUAGGCGGAACUACAAGUGUAGAGGUGAAAUUCGUAGAGAUUUGUAGGAAUGCCGAUGACGAAGGUAGCUUACUGGACAAAUACUGGCGCUGAAGCGCGAAAGCUAGGGAGCAAACAGGAUUAGAUACCCUGGUAGGUCAGUC